GGAAUGCUCCCGGCAUGCAAUUCGGCUGGCUUGUGAGAGCGCUUGUCCCGAGUCCUUGCCGGUGAGUUGUUCCGGGUUCGGGCGAGCCUCACGGCUCCGUGGUCUUUGAUGUGGUUGAGAGAAGCCAAAUGUUCCCAGCAAGGGCUGAGGAAGGCAUUCUGGAGUCCAGAGCGGCAGCAACGAACACUAUGUGAACUCACGCCAGCCCACAUGGGCACAGCAGCAGCAGCCCCUGACCUCAGGCUGCACUGGGCACCUCUUCCUUAAGCCCUGGGGCUUCCCUGUGGAUGCCAGCACUUGACACUUCAGAGAACCCGUUGAACUCCCGGACAAACACAACCUGGAAGCACAGCAAGUUCGUGCUGUCUGGAGCCUUUCAUGAGUGACAGGAGCCAGUGGCUAAAUUCAUCUCCCUUCUUGAAUCACACUUGACAGCUAGCAGUGGUCAGCUCAGGCAGACAAUCUCCAACGCCCUCCCCUGCUCUCCCUUAUGUCAGCUUCCCCAGAAUGGUACUGCCUGAGAAAACAGCGCAGAAACUUCUCAGUGUUCUCCUUGUGGGGAACAUAAGCCAAGAGGCUUGUUUCCAGGGGAGGUUCUCGGAAGCAGACCCUUGUACUAGGACUUCGAGUUGAUUGUUUACCCAAGUUUGGCCCAAGUCCAUCUCACAAUGAGGUCCAUGAGUGCAUGAAUCCACCCUGUGGUUAUUUUCCUCCACCUUUUAAUUUAUUUUCCUCCACCUUUUAAUAUAUAUUUUGGAUAGAUGCACUUCAUCAUUUGGUAGAAUUCACCUCGAUGGCUUCUGAACCUGUGAAUUAAGGGUGAUUAUGGUAUAAAUGGCCAAGUGAAAACACUUGAAACUUACCACUGUAUCAUGGAAAGCCCUGUAGAGAACUGUACCUAUGCCAAAAACUUAAGAGGGUACAUGAUCAUUUUCCCCCAUCAUAUCCCCAUUGAUUUCUCUUUGUCUCUAUAAAAAUUUACAUGUCUAAAGCAAGUGGAUGUGGUAAAUUAAAAAAUUACCCCAAAUUGUGAGUUAAGUAAACCUAUUUUCUUUAUAAAUUUCCCAGCCUUGGGUAUUUUGUUAUAGCAGUAAAAAUGGAGUUAAGUCAGGCCCCAAC
rnacentral:lncRNA from 1 species